UGAGAUCCUGGGUGAGGAGCCAAGG
rnacentral:piRNA from 1 species